GUUGCAUCUGAACCUCCAUUAAUCAAUUCUGCCAUGAACUCCAGUUUUAGUCGGGUUUGCUAUAUAUUCUGUGAGAUUUUGUCCUUUCCUGCCAGCAUACCAGCCACUGGGAGAGAAUUUACUAUUAGAGUACUACAGAACUGGCUCUAUUAUAGUGUUUAUCAGUGAGGGUCAAGCUAAGUUUGGGGAUUUUACAUUUGCCAGCGGUGAGGAGUGUUGGGCCAGUCACCUUGAAACUGUCACAGAGCCUUCUAGAAGAGGCCAGUGGCAUUUUAUGUAUGUGCUGAAAAAAUGGCAAAAUGCACUGAGCCUUCACUUCAUUAGUCAGUAAAUUACAACAGAUGGUUUUAAAAUUACUUCAUCAGCAGUGAGUUUUUGUUGUCUGCAGAGAUCCAUGCCAUCACCUCGCUUCGAAGACAAAGCAGACACUGAGAGGUGUUCUUGGAGCAUCUCCAAUAUUGACACCAGGGUCUGGUGAUAGUUGUGGCUCACCCAAGAUCUGCACAUUACUGGAAACUCGGCUGGGGGACACAUCAGUUGCACACAGCGGCAGGAUCUGCUGAUGAGAGAUGCCUGGUUACUGCAGGGAAGGCAACACACAUUUAAUUCUGCUUCUUGGCAUGAAGCCAUGUCCAUACCAGCACACCAGGCUGACCAGCAAGGAGAUGUCCCAGCUUGCAAGCUGUCAUGGAAACGUGAGGAGUGUGAAGCAGAGCUGGCUGCUGGGCUGCAUCCCCAGCAUCAUCCCCACGGGUGUGAGUGGCUCUUGCUGCGGACCUGCCCUGCGAUGUUGCGGCUGCAGGUCCCGCAUCCCACCCAGCCAUGCAGAGGGGCCCCGCUCAGCUGCACCAGCCUCCCCUCAGAGCUGCUUCUGCCAGAGAGGUGACAGAUUUGUUCAUUUGCUUUAAAAAUCCCGUGGAUCCCGUGUGCCAGGCACAUGCAGGCAGAAUUUGUUCCAUAGUAAUUUCUGCUCAAAUUAAAAUCACCAAGUACACAACCUAAUGGCAAAUCCAAGGAAACCAAAACCUACAGGAAGCGCAUUUGGAGGAUGAUUCAAACCCACCUUGGUGCUGGGCUCCAACUUUGCCAUCUCACGCUGCUCAAUCAGCCAAAACGAGCCAGAAACACAAAAUGGUUCCCAGGGCUUUGCUCUUCCCAGCACUCAAUGAAACUCCAUGGAGAAGCUUUUUGCCUGUCUCACUGUCCUUUCCUGCACACCAGGGUCACGUCCUGGCCCUACUGAUAUCAGUGGCAAAAGCUCAUACCCUGGGUAUGAUUCACUCUGCUUUAUUUCUUACUAUACCUCAUCCAAUCCACUAAUUUCUUAAUCCUUUUUAUUCACCUCAACUGCAUUCUCUUCUGAGAGUCAGUAUGUUCAUUUGUGCAUUUAAACCCACGAUCUGGUUGUGCAAAUGCCUCUGUUUAUAGUGGGUCCCCAGUAAAUCCAGCCUCCAGCUGCGAACAUGGGGAACUUUGUGUGGCAGAGGGAAAUUCGGGUCCUUUCUCGCUCCCCCAGCCUCAUUUAUAUCUGCAAAUCUGUGAUCUUGCCUUGAAAGAAUCUGUAAUGACUCAUUGCCUCUAUUGGACCUACUGCCAAUAUCACAGUUAGUUAUAACCAGUUAAUUAACUGGAAAGUCUAAUUACUUAAAAUUCAGCCUUUUCCUGGGUUUUUGCUGUUGCAGGAGAAUGCCAAAUAAUAACAGUGCUUUUCAAUAUAACCUCAUUUUAUUUUUCUUGGGGAACAUACAAAAGUUAUGUGUAAAUAUUUCUUUCUCCAGUGAGCACACUUUAUUAUCCCUUUUCCUUUAGCUUUCAUUAAAAACUGCUCCCACCCCUUCUUUAACUUGAACAUAUAAAUAAAUAACGCCUGAUUCAAACAACCUCAGCCAUAAAAACCUGCUUGAAAAGAAUCUCAGGCAACUACCACAUCUGGAAUAAUAGUCAACAUAUUUUAGAAAGAGACUUCAUUUUUCUCACACAGGAUACUAAAUCAUGAUGGCUCCAUGUGCCAAAAAUAACAGUGGGAUAUGACUAUGGGAGGACGUGAACCUAUAAUGAGGUUCAAUAAAGUACUAAUCUUAUGGGGUAAUGCAAUCUGGUUUGCUUUUGCUUAAAAAAAUGCGUUCGUGUGUGUGUAUGUGUGUGCGUGCGUGCGUUCAUAGACUCUGGUGUGUUUUUUAAACAGGAUUCUGGUACCUUCUCUCAAACUCACUUUGCUGUUUUGCAAUGCAAAUAACUGUU